UAGGGAAUCUUCCGCAAUGGACGCAAGUCUGACGGAGCAACGCCGCGUGAGUGAAGAAGGAUUUCGGUUCGUAAAACUCUGUUGUUAGAGAAGAACAGCGCAUAGAGUAACUGUUAUGCGUGUGACGGUAUCUAACCAGAAAGCCACGGCUAACUACGUGCCAGCAGCCGCGGUAAUACGUAGGUGGCAAGCGUUGUCCGGAUUUAUUGGGCGUAAAGCGAGCGCAGGCGGACAAUUAAGUCUGAUGUGAAAGCCCCCGGCUCAACCGGGGAGGGUCAUUGGAAACUGGUUGACUUGAGGGCAGAAGAGGAGAGUGGAAUUCCAUGUGGAGCGGUGAAAUGCGUAGAUAUACGGAGGAACACCAGUGGCGAAGGCGACUCUCUGGUCUGUAACUGACGCUGAGGCUCGAAAGCGUGGGUAGCAAACAGG
rnacentral:rRNA from 1 species